CAAAGGUCCGGGAUAACCCCGGGAAACUGGGGAUAAUACCGGAUAAAUCACAAGUACUGGAAGGUUUUGUGGUUGAAACUUCCGGGGCCUUUGGAUGGGUCUGCGGCUGAUUAGGUUGUUGCCGGUGUAACGUACCGUCAAGCCUGUAAUCAGUACGGGUUGUGGGAGCAAGAGCCCGGAGAUGGAUUCUGAGACACGAAUCCAGGCCCUACGGGGCGCAGCAGGCGCGAAAACUCUACAAUGCAGGCAACUGCGAUAGGGGAACAUCGAGUGAUACUCAUCUUGGGUGUCUGUCCUCCCGUCUAAAAAACGGGAGUUAGCAAGGGCCGGGCAAGACCGGUGCCAGCCGCCGCGGUAAUACCGGCGGCUCGAGUGGUGGCCGAUAUUAUUGAGUCUAAAGGGUCCGUAGCCGGCUUUGCAAGUCUUUUGGGAAAUCCAGCGGCUUAACCGUUGGGCGUCCGGGAGAUACUACAUUGCUUGGGACUGGGAGAGGUAGGAGGUACUCAGGGGGUAGGAGUGAAAUCCUGUAAUCCUUUGGGGACCACCGGUGGCGAAGGCGUCCUACCAGAACAGGUCCGACGGUGAGGGACGAAAGCUAGGGGCACGAACCGGAUUAGAUACCCGGGUAGUCCUAGCCGUAAACGAUGCUCGCUAGGUGUCACAACAAUCGUGAAUUGUUGUGGUGCCGUAGGGAAGCCGUGAAGCGAGCCACUUGGGAAGUACGACCGCAAG
rnacentral:rRNA from 1 species